rnacentral:misc_RNA from 1 species
CGCACAUUGCGCCCCUUGGUAUUCCAUGGGGCAUGCCUGUUCGAGCGUCAUUUGUACCCUCAAGCUUUGCUUGGUGUUGGGCGUGUUGUCUGUUCCUUUUAUGGACAGACUCGCCUUAAAGUAAUUGGCAGCCAGUGUUUUUGGCAGUAAGCGCAGCACAUUUUGCGUCUUAGUCCCUAAACAGUGGCAUCCAGAAAGCCUCUUUCUCACUUUUGACCUCGGAUCAGGUAGGGAUACCCGCUGAACUUAA